GGAGAAAUGCUAGCGACAUCAGUGCUUCCGGCAUCCGCAGAUCUUGCAGGAUGCUCCAUGCGAACAAGUCGGCAUGGCAAGGGACGAUUUGCGAGCAGCAGGAAGAAGAGAUUGCGCGCUGCUUGAUGCGCUGCCAUGAGAGCUAUCCAAGAAUUUCGGGGUGAUGGCUGGAGCGGUCCAAGGCUUCGAGCUACUCACUAGAUUCAAUAUCCUAGACCAGCUCUUCGUCGGCGUCCCGCUACAUCGCUAGUUCUACUGGCCAACUUCUAAUCCUCGGCCUUGGUUUUAGAACAAACGAAGGGGUGAGUGGAGAUGGCGAUGCCAAGUGAUCAUUCAAGCAACACCAGAAGUUUUUAUAUUCUUUUGCUCGUCGUUUCCUUGUGCUUCUUUUCUAGAGAUCUUUUACGAGCUCCUUGGUACUGCUCUUCAUAAGCACAGUGUGCUUCUGGCCUGAGUCCCCCAUUGGAACGAUAUAGCUCUGUCUGUGAUGUGUUUUGGUGACGGUAAGUAAAUCCAUUCCAAAAGCUUAUGGUUUUUUC